rnacentral:lncRNA from 1 species
GCUAGAGUGCAAUGGCGCAGUCUCGGCUCACCGCAACGUCUACCUCCCAGGUUCAAGCGAUUCUCCUGCCUCAGCCUCCCGAGUAGCUGGGAUUACAGGCAUGCGCCACCAUUCCUGGCUAAUUUUGUAUUUUUAGUAGAGAUGGGGUUUCUCCAUGUUGGUCAGGCUGGUCUCGAACACCCAACCUCAGGUUCCCCACAUUGGCAGACAAAAUUAGAAGCGGCACAGAAUGUUCUCUUAUGUAAAGAAAUUUUUGCACAGCUCUCUCGGGAAGCUGUUCAAAUUAAAUCACAAGUCCCUCACAUUGUGGUGAAAAACCAGAUUAUCUCUCAGCCCUUUCCGAGCUUGCAGUUAUCUAUUUCUUUGUGCCAUUCCUCAAAUGAUAAGAAAUCCCAAAAAUUUGCUACUGAGAA